rnacentral:rRNA from 1 species
UGGGGAAUUUUGGACAAUGGGGGCAACCCUGAUCCAGCAACGCCGCGUGAAUGAAGAAGGCCUUAGGGUUGUAAAGUUCUUUUAUCCAAGAGCAAAAGUCAAGUGUUAAGAGCAUGUGAUGUUGAGAGUAUUGGAGGAAUAAGCACCGGCUAACUACGUGCCAGCAGCCGCGGUAAUACGUAGGGUGCGAGCGUUAAUCGGAAUUACUGGGCGUAAAGGGUGCGUAGGCGGAUAUAUAAGUUAGAUGUGAAAUACCCGAGCUUAACUUGGGAACUGCAUUUAAGACUGUAUAUCUAGAGUUUGUCAGAGGGGGGUAGAAUUCCAAGUGUAGCAGUGAAAUGCGUAGAGAUUUGGAGGAAUACCGAUGGCGUAGGCAGCCCCCUGGGAUAGAACUGACGCUGAGGCACGAAAGCGUGGGUAGCAAACAGG